GAUGAACGCUGGCGGCGUGCCUAAUACAUGCAAGUCGAGCGAACAGACGAGGACCUUGCUCCUCUGACGUUAGCGGCGGACGGGUGAGUAACACGUGGAUAACCUACCUAUAAGACUGGGAUAACUUCGGGAAACCGGAGCUAAUACCGGAUAAUAUAUUGAACCGCAUGGUUCAAUAGUGAAAGACGGUUUUGCUGUCACUUAUAGAUGGAUCCGCGCCGCAUUAGCUAGUUGGUAAGGUAACGGCUUACCAAGGCAACGAUGCGUAGCCGACCUGAGAGGGUGAUCGGCCACACUGGAACUGAGACACGGUCCAGACUCCUACGGGAGGCAGCAGUAGGGAAUCUUCCGCAAUGGGCGAAAGCCUGACGGAGCAACGCCGCGUGAGUGAUGAAGGUCUUCGGAUCGUAAAACUCUGUUAUUAGGGAAGAACAAAUGUGUAAGUAACUAUGCACGUCUUGACGGUACCUAAUCAGAAAGCCACGGCUAACUACGUG
rnacentral:rRNA from 1 species